ensembl:lncRNA
CGACAGCUGGUAGGAAAUCCUACUACACCGCCAGGUCACAUGGUCCCACCCCCCAAACACACGCACACACACACACACACACACACACACACACACACACACACACACACACACACACACACACACACACACACACACACUAAUGCGUGUACAGUAUCAAAAGAGGGAGGGGGAAGGGAGGCAUCGGGGCUAAGAGAGCGAAGGAGGAGGGAAGGAGAGGAGACCGAGGGAGGGUGGGAGGGAGGGGUGGAUGAAAGGAAAUCCACAGCAUGAGCGAAGCUUACAACCGCCUCGGUGACGGAGGAGGAGCAGCAGGGACGAGACAGCAGCGUGGAACAGAUAGCGGUCCACCGCGGCGAGCAGCACCACGACCUGAUGUCUUUAUCAUAUCUCUCCCUCGCCCUUCGUCUCGUUCUCAUCUGAUCCAGAUUGGGCGAGCCGGCGGGAGAGACGCGGAAAGUUAGUUGAGGGGCGGCGCCGAGAGCUUUCCAGAGGGGGGCCGGCUCCCUGGAGCGUAUCCCGGGAGGACAUCUGUGACAGGGGUGACAGAAGACUGGCUGGUGGUGGCGGGAGGGAGAGGUGUGUGUGAGGGCUCCUCGCAAGGUCCUCAGACACUUGUGUGUUGCCACCUUGCAGCGUGCUUGAGGGAGUGUGUGUCUGUGUGUGUGUGUGUGUGUGUGUGUGUGCUUGUGUGUUUGUGGAUGCGUGUGAGCGCGAGUGUGAGGAGUGAGGUGAGGCGGUCACCUGUUCAUUACACGCCAUGCCACAGAUGAGGACCUGGGAGUCCUGCUGAAGAGACAACCAUGGCUAAGGCUAAAGGACAUGGAGACGGCAUGGUGUCGUCCAACGAGAACCGCCCCCGGCCGCUGUCGUCGGGCGGGGUGGAGGGUCUGUCCUGGCCUGGCCCACGGACCCUGCUGCUCCAGAAGAACUCCCUGGGCUUCGGAUUCACGCUGCGCCACUUCAUCGUCUACCCCCCAGAGUCCUCCCUGCAGAGCCCCCUCAAGGUGACCCAACGUCUGGUGGACCUCAGCACCAUAUCACACUGUGGAUAUAGAUAUACAGUAUACACAUAGGGCUGCACUGGAGUCCCCGACUCCCCACCCCAGACCUGAAGGGACCUGGGCCUCUGGUCUUACCACCACAUAAUACUGUAGAUAUAUAAAUAUAGAGCUGCGUCAGAGUCCUCCCUCCAGUGGCUGACGGCCCUACGUCAUCUUCGCCAUUUAUCCAUCAUUGAGGUCAAUUGAGAUUUGAUCAAAGAAAGUGAUCGAUUGAUCGGCUAAUAGUUCCAGUAUAUUAAAGUAUAUGAUAUAUAAUACAGUAUGUUAUUUUUUAUCUACUGGAGAAAGAAUUAGUUUUGGUGAUUUAUUUAUAAGACUUUUGAGUCCUUUUUUAAACCGGUUUAAACAUGCCUCUGACCAGAGGGAUACGGUUAAACUGGAGUAUUGGAAGAUGGGUAGACCGUCCCAUCAAUGAUACCAGUUCAAUUCUCCUUCCACACAGUAACAGUAACACAUGGUCUGGUACAUGACGCCGGUGCACUUAGCCAUGUUACUGCUAAUCUGAUAAGCUAACCUAGCUAAGGGGUUAAACCUUUGCCACCUGACGGGGUCAGGAAGUCCCACAACAACACUUUUAAUGCGGACCACUGCAUGAUACUAUAGCUACUAUGGCAUCACGUAUAGUGUAGCAUUCACCAUCCAUGUUACUGUAAUGAAUGGACCUCUCCGAGCCCGGACAGCACCUCAAAGGGAGUAUUUUUUGUAUCGUAGCCCACUACGCGAACAACCUUGUUUGAGGCAUUUAAAACAUGCAUCUGUCGAUGCUUGUAGCAUUUAGGAGCGCGGCCAUGUUUUUGUUAAGGCUUUGCUCACUCCUCCUCGUGACAAGGAUAUUUUCCAAGGGGUGUGGGGGUUAAAAUCACUACACUACAAGCACUACAUCACUUUUCAUCUGAAAUGAGUUCUAGUGUUUUGUUUGCACACAGACAUAUACACAGAGAUAAACACUAAAUAUAUGGGCAUGGGCUCCUUUUAAAGAAAUGUUAAACUGU